UACAGAGGUCUCAAGCGUUGUUCGGAUUCAUUGGGCGUAAAGGGUGCGUAGGUGGCGGGGUAAGUCAGGUGUGAAAUUUCGGAGCUUAACUCCGAAACUGCAUUUGAUACUGCCUUGCUUGAGGACUGGAGAGGAGACUGGAAUUCACGGUGUAGCAGUGAAAUGCGUAGAUAUCGAGAGGAACACCUGCGGCGAAGGCGGGUUGCUGGGCUGACACUGACGCUGAUGCGCGAAAGCCAGGGGAGCGAACGGG
rnacentral:rRNA from 1 species